CCUACGGGUGGCAGCAGUGAGGAAUAUUGGUCAAUGGCCGGAAGCCUGAACCAGCCAAGCCGCGUGAAGGACGAAGGUGCCACGCAUUGUAAACUUCUUUUGUCGAGGGACAAAAUCCGCCUCGUGAGCCUUUCCGCGUGUACUCGACGAACAAGCAUCGGCUAACUCCGUGCCAGCAGCCGCGGUAAUACGGAGGAUGCGAGCGUUAUCCGGAUUUAUUGGGUUUAAAGGGUGCGUAGGCGGGCUGUAAAGUCAGCGGUAAAAGCCCGGGGCUCAACCCCGGCGAGCCGUUGAAACUGUCGGGCUUGAGAUGGCGAGAGGUAGGCGGAAUGCGCGGUGUAGCGGUGAAAUGCAUAGAUAUUGCGCAGAACUCCGAUUGCGAAGGCAGCAUACCGGCGCCGAUCUGACGCUGAGGCACGAAAGCGUGGGUAUCGAACAGGAUUAGAUACCCUGGUAGUC
rnacentral:rRNA from 1 species